UACGGGGGGAGCAAGCGUGGUUCGGAAUCACGGGGCGUAAAGGGAGUCUAGGCGGUUUGGUAAGUGGGAUGUGAAAUCCCCGGGCUCACCCCGGGACCUGCAUCCCAAACUGCUGAGCUUGAGUACAGGAGAGGGUGGGGGAAUUCCAGGUGUAGCGGUGAAAUGCGUAGAUAUCUGGAGGAACACCGGUGGCGAAGGCGCCCACCUGGCCUGCUACUGACGCUGAAGCUCGAAAGCUAGGGGAGCAAACGGG
rnacentral:rRNA from 1 species